GGAAGGGAGAAAUCUUUAGUCACUAGAUUCCACCUCCCAUCAUUCAAACGUUCACCACCUGUUAUUUCCUUUGCAUUUCCAGGUGGCUUACAUGUGGAUAUAUAAGGAACACAGUGCCUCAUGCCUCGGGAUCAGUGGGGAAGUCCCAAAGCAGGUGGGAGAGGUGGAAAAUGGGAGUAAAUAAAGGCGCUGUCAGGUUUCACCCGUGGUUGACUGGAGUUUGUACUGAGUUGACCUUGGCAGCAAUGGUGAGGGUUGAACAAACAUCACCUCAUGGCAGGUGACAUUGAGAGGGGUGAAGUGGUGCAUCCGAGAUGUCCCCUACAGUCUAGCCCCUGCACUGCCUAGGUUUGCCCUCCCAUAGGGUCAUAGAAGGCCUUCCUAUUGUGACAACACAAUGCUCUCAUUUAUUUUCUAAGAAGAGAAGGUCAAGUUCAAUCAGUCACAGAGUUCCCUUUCAAGAUCACAGCCAACUGAAAUCUCUGAAAAGAGUUUGGGCAAGAGCGUGAAGCAAGCCCAGUGCCCCAGCUGGAGCUAGUCCCAUCUCCUCCUCCGCCACCCUUGCUUGACUUCCUCUGUGCUCAGUCCACGUUUUGGGUGGACUUUGGGUGGACUCUUUGUCCAUAAAAUGGGUCUCUUCAUCCGGGGCAAUGUUGUGUGGACACCACAGGGAUGAAUCAAGCAUCUGCAAGUCUGUGGAUGGUGUGGCUGGCAGAGGCGCGUGGUUAGCAAAGGCAAAGCCUCUCCCAGUUAGGUAUUGAUCCUGGUGAGGAAGUCUGGCUCAGAAAAGGGUCUGGAGAAUCAACUUGCUGCCAAGGGGUUGGCUGGUCUUUACAAGGAUGGCGCCGCACCGGGGCCUCACUGUCAGUCUGUGUAGCUAGCAGGCUGGGUGUGCAGCAAAGCCAACCGCUAGAUCUCCUGUCGAGGAAUGGGGUCCAUGCUGCUGGGCCCUUGCUUAAUGGCAAACCCUGCCAUCAUUGUCACUGUGUAAGGCCGCACAGUGUCAGCCCUAGGGCAGCCAAGGAGCGAGACUGGCUGGCGUCCACAGCAUGAACCAUCCAGUCUACAUGGUUCUUGAUGUCUCCUCUGUGGUGGACAGUCCCUAGACAGCACUGGCAGAUUCAAAGACCACCACAUUUUGUGUUCACUUCUCUGGGUCAGCCCACAUGACUCUUCCUAGAGCUCCUUGUCCUCAGUCAUUUAAUCUUGUUUUUCAUGCCUUUGGCCAUCAUUUAAGACCGGUGUCCCCUGCUCAGAUAUCUACAUGCAUGUAUUUUUAAAAUUUUUAUUUAUUUAUUUUGACAGGCAGAGUUAGUGAGAGAGAGACAGAAAGAAAGGUCUUCCUUCCGUUGGUUCACUCUCCAAUGGCCGCAACAGCCGAAGCUGCGCCGAUCUGAAGCCAGGAGCCAGGAGCCACCUGGUCUCCCAAAUGGGUGCAGAGGCUCAAGGACGUGGGCCAUCUUCUACUGCCUUUCCAGGCCACAGCAGAGAGCUGCAUUGGAAGAGGAGCAACUGGGACAGAAUCCGGCACCCCGACCGGGCCUAGAACCCGGAAUGCCGGCGCCGCAGGUGGAGGAUUAGCCUAGUGAGCCACGGAACCAGCCUAUAUGCAUGUUGUCCAGUUGUCAAAUCUGUCACUGUCUAGUACACGCUUCGCAGCCUGUGGUCCCCACUCUUCAAGGUGCUCACGGUCCUCCUCGGGAGGCAGUGGUGGGUUUAAGCUGCCACGGCUUAUCCAAAAGGGAGCCAUCCUCUUCGGUGAUUCUAGGACGUUCUUUUCUCGCCAGCUCUUUACGUGUAUUCUGCUUUUUCUGUGCAUUGAAUCAGAUGACGACGAUGCGAACUUUUGGGACCCUCCGGUGUACCACAUGAUGCUCAGUUGCUUGAGACAGUUUGGAGAAUGCGCUUGGAGACUGAGUGGUGGAAGAGCCAGUCUCCACACAUCCAGUCUUGCAGAAUGUACUGACCGAGGCAUGUGUCAGGAGAAAGGGACCGUGGGCCUUGCAUCUUUAGAUCCCAGAGAACUGGGAGCUGUCAGAUCCUUACACAGAAGCAGCAACACAUGAACUGUGCACACAGGAUUUCCCUGUAGGAGAAGGAAAGGAGCCUGCUACCUUCCGCAUCAGUGUCUUAGACUGACAAACAAGACCGGGAGCAGGCCCCCCAACUAAAAUGCAGUUUCGCCUUCGCCCUUUGGGGAACACACGUAAUGAGUUGG